rnacentral:rRNA from 1 species
GAAUUUGCUUGCGCAGACGACGACUAUUGCUGGGAAGAAUACAAUGAGAGCGCAUUAUGCUUUGGUUUCGUCUGCAAGGCAGAGUGCUGGCUGAACGCGAAACUGGAAUAUGCGGGCACAAAACCAAGUGUCAAGGGAUACAAGUGUACGGGAUCAAAACUGAAACACCGUUGUCACUGCUAUUAUUGUGUACCGUGGUCCAACUAG